UCUCCGUAGGUGAACCUGCGGAGGGAUCAUUACAAGUGACCCCGGUCUUACCACCGGGGUGUUCAUAACCCUUUGUUGUCCGACUCUGUUGCCUCCGGGGCGACCCUGCCUUCGGGCGGGGGCUCCGGGUGGACACUUCAAACUCUUGCGUGACUUUGCAGUCUGAGUAAACUUAAUUAAUAAAUUAAAACUUUUAACAACGGAUCUCUUGGUUCUG
rnacentral:misc_RNA from 1 species